rnacentral:rRNA from 1 species
AUUAGAUGAGCCUAUAUUAGAUUAGCUAGUUGGUGGGGUAAUAGCCUACCAAGGUAAUGAUCUAUAGCUGAUCUGAGAGGAUGAUCAGCCACACUGGAACUGAGAUACGGUCCAGACUCCUACGGGAGGCAGCAGUGGGGAAUAUUGGACAAUGGGCGAAAGCCUGAUCCAGCCAUGCCGCAUGAGUGAAGAAGGCCUUUGGGUUGUAAAGCUCUUUUAGUGAGGAAGAUAAUGACGGUACUCACAGAAGAAGUCCUGGCUAACUCCGUGCCAGCAGCCGCGGUAAUACGGAGAGGGCUAGCGUUAUUCGGAAUUAUUGGGCGUAAAGGGCGCGUAGGCUGGUUAAUAAGUUAAAAGUGAAAUCCCGAGGCUUAACCUUGGAAUUGCUUUUAAAACUAUUAAUCUAGAGAUUGAAAGAGGAUAGAGAAAUUCCUGAUGUAGAGGUAAAAUUCGUAAAUAUUAGGAGGAGCACCAGUGGCGACGGCGUCUAUCUGGUUCAAAUCUGACGCUGAAGCGCGAAGGCGUGGGGAGCAAACAGGAUUAGAUACCCUGGUAGUCCACGCUGUAAACGAUGAAUGUUAAAUAUGGGGAG